rnacentral:rRNA from 1 species
CGCUAUCACUCCUACGAGAGGCAGCAGUAGGGAAUCUUACCACAAUGGGCGCAAGCCUGAUGGAGCAACACCGCGUGAGUGAAGAAGGGUUUCGGCUACGUAAAGCUCUGUUGUUAAAGAAGAACACGUAUGAGAGUAACUGUUCAUACGUUGACGGUAUUUAACCAGAAAGUCACGGCUAACUACGUGCCAGCAGCCGCGGUAAUACGUAGGUGGCAAGCGUUAUCCGGAUUUAUUGGGCGUAAAGAGAGUGCAGGCGGUUUUCUAAGUCUGAUGUGAAAGCCUUCGGCUUAACCGGAGAAGUGCAUCGGAAACUGGAUAACUUGAGUGCAGAAGAGGGUAGUGGAACUCCAUGUGUAGCGGUGGAAUGCGUAGAUAUAUGGAAGAACACCAGUGGCGAAGGCGGCUACCUGGUCUGCAACUGACGCUGAGACUCGAAAGCAUGGGUAGCGAACAGGAUUAGAUACCCUGGUAG